rnacentral:rRNA from 1 species
UACGUAGGGACCAAGCGUUGUUCGGAUUUACUGGGCGUAAAGGGCGCGUAGGCGGCUUAACAAGUCACUUGUGAAAUCUCCGGGCUUAACUCGGAACGGCCAAGUGAAACUGUCAAGCUAGAGUGCAGAAGGGGCAAUCGGAAUUCUUGGUGUAGCGGUGAAAUGCGUAGAUAUCAAGAGGAACACCUGAGGUGAAGACGGGUUGCUGGGCCAACACUGACGCUGAUGCGCGAAAGCCAGGGGAGCAAACAGG